UUUAUAUAACUGCACGGCUCUAUAUUCAGCUUAGCUUAAGGUUUAGAUCCUCACAGAGUACUUGUGAUGACAUCCAAGUCCAUUUACCUUUGAAUUACACGGUAUAUUCCUUUGUGAAUUAAAUUGAAAUUCUUUACAUCCGCCCUGCUAUUCUACUGCCACUUGUUGAACAGUCAGAAAUGAGCAUCAGUUUACCAUUGCGAAUAUAAAAAGACACAUUGGGACUGAUGCUGGAUAGAACAAUUUUUUUCUGGAUUUAUUGAACUUCAAUAGGAGGAGAGCUCAAACAAAGAAAAAUGGACAUAAGAAUCGUCUCUUUACCUACAAAUGGGAAGAAAUAUAUAGCAAAUUGUGGGCCAUUUAACCCUUUUCUUGGAGUUCUAUUUGAAACUUAUGAAAGUUUCACUCUUGAAAUUAGAGUGUCUAAAGAAUGAGUUCUGUUGCCCCUUAAUUUUUUCAAAUUAGAAUUGUGUAUAAGAGGGACUUCCCUCAUCAUUGAUAGGUGUCAAUGCUACUAAUCUAUAAAGAUCAAGUUAACUAGAGAGAUACAUAUAUGGAUCCACUAGUGCAAUAUAAGGAGUCUUGUAAGUAAAUGACUAAAGCAAAGUUAGAAAAUUGUCCAUAUAUCAACAACGACAAAAAAUCUAUCCAAUAUACAUGACUAUUCAAAUCUCAAAUCAAUGGGAUUUUGCUAUAUUUUCUUCCUGCAUACAUGCAGAUUCAAGUAAAGAUGGCAACACUAGGGGAGUAAGUAGAGGAAUUGGAUCUUUACUGUGACAACAAGACGGAUAUGAAGCAGAUGAAUCCACUGGCCUUAACAAUGCACCCUUGUAGUCAAGAGAACUGCUGCUGGGCUUGAGCUGAAGCGGGCGAGGAGCGCGCAUUUGCAACCGGCUCAGUGUGCUUUUCACUACUGCAUAUUCAUCUUUGGGUAUACAGGUCUGGAAACCUGGAAACUCGUGUUCAUCACCACAUCUCUCCAUAGAAUUCAUCUGUUUUUUCAACAACUUUUGCUAGAGAGAAGACUACGCUCGUUGUACCUUUUAAUUUUAAUAUUAUCUUCUAUGUGGAUGAUCUAGUCGGGGCCUGGGGGGCCUGUAUUUCGCCAAGGUAUACGUUUUGAUUGUCACCAAAAAUUUAUGAGGGGGGACCUAUAAGGAUAUAUGUUAGUACGAAAUAUUAUUU
rnacentral:lncRNA from 1 species